UACGUAGGCAGCGAGCGUUGUUCGGAGUUACUGGGCGUAAAGGGCGCGUAGGCGGCUGGCUAAGCGGGUGGUGAAAGCCCGGGGCUCAACCCCGGGUCGGCCAUGCGAACUGGUCAGCUGGAGCACGGUAGAGGCACAUGGAAUUCCGGGUGUAGCGGUGGAAUGCGUAGAGAUCCGGAAGAACACCGGUGGCGAAGGCGGUGUGCUGGGCCGUAGCUGACGCUGAGGCGCGACAGCGUGGGGAGCAAACAGG
rnacentral:rRNA from 1 species